rnacentral:rRNA from 1 species
CAGCCGCCGCGGUAAUACGGAGGGUGCAAGCGUUAAUCGGAAUUACUGGGCGUAAAGCGCACGCAGGCGGUCUGUCAAGUCGGAUGUGAAAUCCCCGGGCUCAACCUGGGAACUGCAUUCGAAACUGGCAGGCUAGAGUCUUGUAGAGGGGGGUAGAAUUCCAGGUGUAGCGGUGAAAUGCGUAGAGAUCUGGAGGAAUACCGGUGGCGAAGGCGGCCCCCUGGACAAAGACUGACGCUCAGGUGCGAAAGCGUGGGGAGCAAACAGGAUUAGAUACCCCUGUAGUCCCUGUCUCUUAUAC